rnacentral:rRNA from 1 species
UACGUAGGGUGCAAGCGUUGUCCGGAAUUAUUGGGCGUAAAGAGCUCGUAGGCGGUCUGUCGCGUCUGCUGUGAAAACCUAGGGCUUAACUCUGGGCGUGCAGUGGGUACGGGCAGGCUAGAGUGCGGUAGGGGAGACUGGAAUUCCUGGUGUAGCGGUGAAAUGCGCAGAUAUCAGGAGGAACACCGGUGGCGAAGGCGGGUCUCUGGGCCGGUACCGACGCUGAGGAGCGAAAGCGUGGGUAGCAAACAGG